rnacentral:rRNA from 1 species
CUAGCCGUAAACGAUGGAUACUAGGUGUUAGAGGUAUCGACCCCUCUAGUGCCGCAGCUAACGCAUUAAGUAUCCCGCCUGGGGAGUACGACCGCAAGGUUGAAACUCAAAGGAAUUGACGGGGGCCCGCACAAGCGGUGGAGCAUGUGGUUUAAUACGUCACUAACCGUAGAACCUUACCCAGGCUUGACAUCCUGUGUAAGUCCAUGAAAGUGGUACCCCUGCAUAGCAAUAUGCAGCACAGAGACAGGUGU